rnacentral:misc_RNA from 1 species
GAAGAAUACUUUAUCCUCUAAGUUGUAGCCUUAGUUCUCUCUCAAGAAUUUCUUUUUUUUCCUAUAAAGAAAAAUUAAUAAAAAAAUCCAGUAGAAUUGAUGGCCUAACGCUUAAAAUGUCACAUUUUGAACCUUGAACAAUUUAAGAAUUCAAUCAAAAUCCUGAUAUAAUUUUUUCCUCCUAAAUUCUUAUUAAUUAAUAAAAUAUUGCAAACAACGCAUUUAAAGAAAAAUUGUGUUGAG